UUAGAGGUCUGCCUCUGUAUCUAGGUCUAUACCCGAACUCUUACCGAACUCGAGCGUCCUUAUCUAGAAAGCCACACAUACUAAUUUUUGUUGGGAAUCAUGGCUCG
rnacentral:rRNA from 1 species